rnacentral:rRNA from 1 species
UACGUAGGGUGCAAGCGUUAAUCGGAAUUACUGGGCGUAAAGCGUGCGCAGGCGGUUUUGUAAGACUGUCGUGAAAUCCCCGGGCUCAACCUGGGAAUGGCGAUGGUGACUGCAAGGCUAGAGUUUGGCGGAGGGGGGUAGAAUUCCACGUGUAGCAGUGAAAUGCGUAGAUAUGUGGAGGAACACCGAUGGCGAAGGCAGCCCCCUGGGUCAAAACUGACGCUCAUGCACGAAAGCGUGGGGAGCAAACAGG